UAAGCGGAGGAAAAGAAACUAACAAGGAUUCCCCUAGUAACUGCGAGUGAAGCGGGAAAAGCUCAAAUUUAAAAUCUGGUGGUCUUUGGCCAUNCGAGUUGUAAUUUAGAGAAGCGUCUUCCGCGCUGGACCGUGCACAAGUCUCCUGGAAUGGAGCGUCAUAGAGGGUGAGAAUCCCGUCUUUGGCAUGGACACACCAGGGCUUUUGUGAUGCGCUCUCGAAGAGUCGAGUUGUUUGGGAAUGCAGCUCAAAAUGGGUGGUGAACUCCAUCUAAAGCUAAAUAUUGGCGAGAGACCGAUAGCGAACAAGUACCGUGAGGGAAAGAUGAAAAGCACUUUGGAAAGAGAGUGAAACAGUACGUGAAAUUGUUGAAAGGGAAACGCUUGAAGUCAGUCACGUCGACCGAGACUCAGCCUUGCCUCGGCUUGGUGUACUUCUCGGCUGACGGGUCAGCAUCAAUUUUGCCCCUUGGAUAAUGGCGAGGGGAAUGUGACACCUUUAUGGUGUGUUAUAGUCUCUCGUCGCAUGCAAGGGUUGGGAUUGAGGAACUCAGCACGCGCCCUUUGGGUGUCGGGGCUUUGCCCACGAUACGUGCUUAGGAUGUUGGCAUAAUGGCUUUAAACGACC
rnacentral:rRNA from 1 species